rnacentral:rRNA from 1 species
UUAAGCAUAUCAAUAAGCGGAGGAAAAGAAACUAACAAGGAUUCCCCUAGUAACUGCGAGUGAAGCGGGAAAAGCUCAAAUUUAAAAUCUGUUGGCAUUGGCCAUCCGAGUUGUAAUCUAGAGAAGUGUUACCCGUGCUGGACCGUGUACAAGUCUCCUGGAAUGGAGCAUCACAGAGGGUGAGAAUCCCGUCUUUGACAUGGACUACCAGUGCUUUUGUGGUAUGCUCUCAAAGAGUCGAGUUGUUUGGGAAUGCAGCUCAAAAUGGGUGGUAAAUGCCAUCUAAAGCUAAAUAUUGGCGAGAGACCGAUAGCGAACAAGUACCGUGAGGGAAAGAUGAAAAGAACUUUGGAAAGAGAGUUAAACAGUACGUGAAAUUGCUGAAAGGGAAACGCUUGAAGUCAGUCGCGUUGACUUGAAAUCAACCCUGCUUUUGCUGGGUGUAUUUUCUUGUCAAUGGGUCAGCAUCAAUUUUGACCAUUGGAUAAAGUUAUUGGGAAUGUGGCAUCUUUGGAUGUGUUAUAGCCUAAUGAUGCAUACAGUGGUUGGGAUUGAGGAAUUCAGCACGCCAUAAGGCCGGGUUUCGACCACGUCCGUGCUUAGGAUGCUGGCAUAAUGGCUUUAAUCGACCCGUCUUGAAACACGGACCAAGGAGUCUAACAUGCCUGCAAGUGUUUGGGUGGAAAACCCAUGCGCGUAAUGAAAGUGAAAGUUGAGAUCCCUUUGGGGAGCAUCGACGCCCGGACCAGACCUUUUGUGACGGAUCUGCGGUAGAGCAUGUAUGUUGGGACCCGAAAGAUGGUGAACUAUGCCUGAAUAGGGUGAAGCCAGAGGAAACUCUGGUGGAGGCUCGUAGCGAUUCUGACGUGCAAAUCGAUCGUCAAAUUUGGGUAUAGGGGCGAAAGACUAAUCGAACCAUCUAGUAGCUGGUUCCUGCC